GUAUACACAGGUUAUAUACCAGUGUUCAGUCUACCUUUACUUGCUUAAUUAUAGAUUUUGCUGAGCUAUCUGAAGUAAUAUGAAAACUUGGACUCCAUUAUUAAUACUGGAUCAAACAGUGUCUUUCCUUUUCCUUCUCUGUUCCUUGCUGGCAUCCCUGCAGAGUCCCACUUUCUGAACUAGUGUGAGGUGUUUGGGAGAUUACCUGAAGGUUCUUCCUUAAAAGCCAUUGCUGCCUGGGGCACCUGGGUGGCUCAGUUGGUUGAGUGUUGGACUCUUGGUUUCGGCUCAGGUCAUGAUCUCAGGGUCCUGGGAUCAAGCCUCACCUCGGGCUCUAUGCUCAGUGGGUAGUCUGCUUGAGGAUUCUCUCUCCCUCUCUCCCUCUACCUCUCUCAUGCAUGUGCUCUUUCUCUCUCAAAAUAAAUAAAUCUUAAAAAAAAAAAAAAAAAAAAGCCUUGGCUGGCUUACUGAUGCCUCACUGGCCUAUUUAAGGAUGACAUACAGUCCAGUGAUUUGGGGUAAACUGCAUUAACAAGCCAGAAAGGAUGCAAUCAAAAUAACAUCACAGUAGCAACCAUGCACAUGCUCUAUUUAUUAUUUUUUAAAUUGUCACUAAGGUGAUGAAAUGACACCAGCAUGUCAUAUAACUAACAAACUAUGUGACAACUGUCUCACAUUAUCAUGUUGGUCUGAUCCUCCUCUCUUAUCACACUGCCCAACAUGGGAUGGUGUAGGAUUUUUGUUUCUAGUUUGCUCUUCUAUGUUCUUCCAAAUUCUAGAUGUCAAGAAUUCCUCUAUGUUUUAACUGAUGAUCAGUUGAACUGGCAAAUAGUGGAUAUAAUCCAGAGAGAAAGCAAUCCAAAUCCAAAUCAGCCAGGAGCAUUCAUGUAAUUGUAUAUUAAUAACCACACAAAAAAAAGCACUGCUGAAUUUUUUAUAAAACUAAAUGGGUUUGGAGGAGGACCGAGGGGCAAACCCAAGAGUUGUGGAACUUGGUUGGGGAAGGUACUCCCUAAAACAGCUCAGAUUGGGAACAGUAGGAGCAAAUGGAGUCUAACCACUAGCCAAGCAGCUGCAGCCUAGGGGAAAAAAAAUUAGGGUAGGCCUGAGCUCUUCCCUGCUAUUAUGUAGAAAAUGUGAAAUAAUAAGAGCAGCUAACUUUUCUUAAUAUCUAACAUUAAUUAUUCUAUCUGUAAUCUUCAUCACAGCCCCCUGGGAUAUAAAUAUUCUUACUGUUUUCCAGGAAAACUGAGGCAGAAAGAAAUGAAUUCAAUUCCCUAAUAUCACACACAUAGCAAGGAUCACACAUCUAGUAAGGAGCAGGAUUGAGAUUCAGUUGCAGGCAGGCUGGCUCCCAGCCUCCCCUCUCAACCACAACGCCGUAUGAUACACUCAGGCAUGGUGCUGGGCAGAUUAUAAGAGCAUUUCUUUCUUUUUUUCUUUUUAUAAGAGCAUUUCAAGGCAAGUGUGAUUAUCCCCUUUACAAAUGAACUUUAGCAAAGUUAAAGCCUUCACAGUAACACAGUAAUUGCAUAGUAAUUAAUCCCUUACACAUUUCCCCCCUCUUUUACACCUGUUUUUUUCCACGUAUAACCCAGUUUCAAUUUGAUUUUAAUAAGAAAAACAAACUUUGUCACAAAAUGCUCUGUGCUCACUUCUCUCCAACUCUUCAACCCUUUAAACAUUGUAUGACUGUUUUUCCACUUUAUGGCUGAGAAAAUUGAGAGCUAUUGAGAUUUUCACUCAUUUUAUUUGUUGACUGAACCCUGCUCUGCAACAGAUACACAGGAUAUAAGACAAUGGAUAGCGGGUAUGUUGAAAAUACACAGAAUAUUAAAGUUAGCUGACCUGAAGGUGCCAAGCUGCAACAGUUUCAUUUUCAUUGUAUACCUGUUAUCACAUUGUACUGUUUAGUUGAAGUAAUAUACCAAACACCCUCUUAGAGAAUCACGGUGUAUUAGCAUACCCGAGACCUGCACUAAAGUCUGGAUUUCAUGCAACCGAGCUUGACCCAGACACAUGAACAUCCUCUAGCACAAGCAUUCUGAGAAGCAUAUUUAAGAAAACAAUGUGUCCGACAGAAUAAAAUGCAAACCCCCCGCAUGGCAUUCAGGCUUUUCAUAAAUUGGCAAUUAUUUUUCAGGCUCAUCUCCUGCAGUUGCACCCAAUUUGUUUCUGUUCUGCAAUCUGCUGUUUUAAACAACGCUUUUAUUAGAAGUUACAUAAUGACAAGUAAUUAUCACAUCCCCUAGAUAUAAACUUGGAUUUCGAAUGCCAUAAUUGUAAUCCUUCUCCAAAGAAAAAUGUGUGGUGCAGGCUUCAUUCCGCCAAUUCAAAGGGCAUAUGAGGUAAGUGUUAUCACACACCCAUCCAGCAGAUGGAAAAACCACGGGAGUGGAAGUGCCUUACAGAGACGUCCUUAGGCCCCAAACCAGAAAGCUCCACUCCUCUUUUCCCAACCUCGACCCAAAAUUAUGAUUAUUGGUCUAAUUGUAUAAACUCCCUAUAGUUUGUCCACAAAACUGGAGUGGGGAUAUUUUAAAAGAACUCUCACCAACCAAGAAUCGAAAUUCUAAUGCAAAUAGAAAGAAUUCCCCGUGGCAUGGAAAACACACAGAAACCUACAAGAGCUAAUCACAGAGAAAAUAUUAACUGUGAUUUGUCCUAUUUUUUAAUCCCCAUGGAAUUGGAUGCAUUAGUGGGAACUAGAAUCCCAUCCCAUUCCGUUCCCCCUGGAUGCAGGCCUUCCUCAGUUGACUAGGCACCAGGGAUGGCCCUCUCUGGAUGGGAGCAGUGUUAGUUUAGCAUGCCACCCCAUGACCUGAUGGUCAAACUGGAUCCCUCCUUUGGCAAAUAAAUAUAUAGUUUGUCUCUUCUUCAACUACAACUGGGAAAAAUAAAGCUUGCCUCAACCCAAUUAAUUACUAAUUGAUCCAUAUGAAACAACAUAUUUUCUCCACAUGGAACAUUUGUUUUUCUCUGGAUAUUAUCUCCUCAUGCAGAGGACGGUGGGUCACUACUGUUAAUCUGUGCCCAGCAUAACUGAAAUUAUAUUUAUAUUCACUUUGGGGAAUUUGGCUGAAUGACAGUCAUGUCUGUAAUGAGCAAAUCAUAUGACUUUCAUCAGAUUUCCUAUUAGCUAUGUGGAGGGGCUUUGUUAGGGAAGGAUUGACAAUGGUGAAGGCUCACUAAGGUGGACCCUGGUGGAAUUUCUGAGGAACUUCAAAUAUGUGAAAACUGUCCCAUUUUCUUUAGAUGUUCUCUUAAAUAUGUAUUCUAUAAAUAUAUAUAUAUAUUUCUAGACAUCAAGUGUUUGUUGUCAUUAGUGACCAAGAAAAAGUAGCCCUCUUAAUGUACUUGUCAAAACAUUAAAUUAUCAAUUACCGUAGAAACGUAUUUCGUGAAUAGAUUUUGUUUCAAGAAACUGAAUAAUAAUGUUCAAUAUUGUUGUGCUUCUUCUGAUGUUGACUUGUCUAUUUGUAUCAAAAGCGCAUUAACUUUUUUCUACAGUAUAUACAGUUACUUUAGCUUUUCCCAGAAGCAGCUAGCAAUAGUUUUAAAAGCACAAAUUGAUGUAAAAUAUCUUGACUGUUGUCAAUCUGAAGAUCUUUUAUUUGCAUUAACCAAUGAUGUUCAGGAUCUUUUUGCAAUCAGUAUUAUUUAAAAUGGUGUAAUUUAUAUGUCUAUGAUAUAUAUUAGGUUGUUUAUUUAAAUUAUGUGUAAGUGUACUUUUUAAAAAAUGUUAUUAUAUGAACAAAAUUAUGCCUUUUAUCUCCACUCUGAGUGUGACAGGAUGGAUACUGUUCUUAUAACCUCCAUCAAUUCGGACAGCCACCUCUCCUUCUACUUCAAAAGAACCGGGCAAAUUCAUUUGUAUUUGAAUUCUAUUAUCUUUGUCUAAAGGAAACCGAACUAACCAUUUAAGAACAGGUUGUCUUUAAAGAUUUAGUAAAAGAAAAAAAAAUAAAAA
rnacentral:lncRNA from 1 species